CUCUUAUCUCACAUGCCCUCCUCUCUAUAAAUACAACUCUAGAGCCCUCCUUUUGAAGACAUACUCCACCUUAUGGGGAUCAUCUCCUCUCUCUCUUCCUCUUUCUCUCCUCCAUCAAAACACCUCCACCAUCUUUCCUUCUCCCUUCAGCCAUCCAAACAUCAAAGAGAAGUUUAGAUCUGAAGUCUAGAGGAUCCACGGGUGAGAAGAGCACCUUCAAGAGUCCAAAGAUAUAGUAGAUUUUAGCCUUCAACAUCUUUAUGACUGAUAAUUGGAGAUUAAGCUCAUACAAGCAAAAAGGACUCAAAUUGACUCAGACCCAAAGUAGAACUCAAAUAUUAAAGGGGUCAAGUGCAACCAAUUCAAGGAUUAAGUCACAAUCAAUGGCACCAAACAAUACAUCAAGAUCCGAUGGCCAUCAAGAGAAGCGUCAAUCAACUAAAAUCUAAAAAAAGGGAGAAAAGGACUUCACAUCAUAUUCAAACACCUAACGGCCAAAGCCUCUUUUCCUUCCUAACUAAUUCUUCCCUCUUUCCUUAAAAAACCAUGCAAUCCCCACUCCUUUAUUCCACAAAUAUCUCCCGCUGCCUUUCUUAUGCAAAUUACGCUACAAAAUACCUUCCCCUAAUUCAAAGUCCACUCUCCUUUACACAUUCUCUACAAAUUGGCCCCACUUCUUCUUUCUUUUAAUUCAUGCAAGGACUUGGGAGUCUGGUGACGCAGAGAAAGAAGAAGGCACGGUUGAGUGGGAACCCACGGUAGUGCAGGUGCGGACACAAACGCGGAAAGAAGGCAGCGGCAACUAAAGGGCUCACGCAAGAAAAGCCAUCACGCAGCCCCCACUUCUUAAAUGUUAUUUCCUUCCAUAUACUUUCUCUUUAUUUCUUUCCCUUCUUCAUGCAAUUUCCCUCACAUCCAAACGCUUAUCUCACAUACCCUCCUUUAUAAAUACAGCUCUAGAGCCCUCCUUUUGAAGACAUACUCCCCCUUAUGGGGAUCAUCUCCUCUCUCUCCCUCUUUCUCUCCUCCAUCAAAACACCUCCACCAUCUUUCUUUCUCUCUUCACCCAUCCAAACAUCAGAGAGAGGUUUAGAUCUUAAGUCUAGAGGAUCCACAGGUGAGAAAAGCACCUUCAAGAGUCCAAAGAUGCAGUAGAUUUGAGCCUUCAACAUCUCGAUGGCGGGCUAGUUCUCCAUCUUCUCAGAAAAUUGCUAUACUAGUUAUAACCACAGUAUUUUUAUUUCUCUAUCUUUUAUAUUUUUUUCUUAUUAUGCGAUAAAAGAUUUGAUCUUAUUUCUUCAUCUUUAUGCAUGUCUUUUAUUUAUUGUGUUCUUAA